rnacentral:rRNA from 1 species
GACAGAGGGGGCAAGCGUUGCUCGGAAUUACUGGGCGUAAAGGGCGCGUAGGCGGGAUGGCAAGUCGGUCGUGAAAUCCCUCGGCUCAACCGAGGAACGUCGAUCGAUACUGCUGUUCUUGAGGAUUGCAGAGGAGACUGGAAUUCCCGGUGUAGCGGUGAAAUGUGUAGAGAUCGGGGAGGAACACCGGUGGCGAAGGCGGGUCUCUGGAACAUUUCUGACGCUGAGGCUCGAAAGCGUGGGGAGCAAACAGGG